rnacentral:lncRNA from 1 species
GUUCAUCUUGCGGGUGUGGGCCUGAAAUAAGUUCCGAGACAGCUUAAUGAUCCAUCACAGGUUCUUUCCUAGGAGUGAGUCACCAGCACAUUUUAUUAACCCAGUUCACCCUUCGUUGCCCCAGCGCCUGCAACAAAGCAACCGAGAUCCCGCAGCUGAGCCGCUCCCAUCAUGAAGCCUCUGGCCUACACAAUGGGGAAGAUGAAACCAGCCAGCCUCAUCAAUCGUCCCUGGGCAGGCCAGUCUCCUCUUCAGUCUCAUGUUCAGGGUUUGCAUAAUUAGGCGCCUGAUGGAGGCGAAUGUCUGCCCCACCGAAGGUCGUCAUUGUGCAGCACUCUGUCGGGGAGCUGUGAGGUACACAGCAGCCCGGGCCUGCUCCGAACAGCAGCAGAGCCUGUGAGGAGGAGCCUGGCUUUUGCAGGAGCGCAUUAAUAAGGUUGGAAACCCGUGGCUUGGGAAUCAGAGCCAAUCGCAGUCAUGUCAGAAAUGGAAAUAAGAAACUCCUGGAUGAAAUGGAGGAGCCAGCAACCCUCUAACCAGAGGUUCUGAAUUUCAAUUUGGGGUCCACUCUGCAAAAGCUGAGGGCUAUUGAGCAAAUCCUUCAACCCCUCAGUGUCUUUGUUUCCUGGACUGCAAAAUGGUGGUGACAUACCAGUUCCCCUUAUCUUAGAGACCAAUCGGUUUACACUUUGAAGAGCUCACGGUGUGUUCAGGGCACUAUUCUAAGGGUGUUACAUGUGUAUUAACUCUAUAAUCAGCAACAACCCUAUGCAAGUUUGCCCUUUGGCAUUCUUCAAGGGCUUUGGCUGAUCCUGCCUUCUGGCUGCUCCUGCUCCUCCUGCCUGAUCCCCACCUCUGGACCCCAGCCUGGGCUGUCCUCAACUGUCUGGAAACUACUCAGAAUGUUAGAUCUUGAAUCACCUCUUGCAGCCACCACAGUGUGGACUCAAUCCUUUUUCCAUUCAUGUUCUCCUGUUCUGCAACUGGGCUGAAAUGACUGCAUGGCGAUGAGGGAGAGAAGACUGAGUCUCAAGUGGGGACGCAAUUUGUGGAAAACAAUAGGCCCCAGGGCAAGGAGCGAAAUGGGCAAUUAGCCCAGGUCUGUGUUGAAGUCAGUCUCUUGGACUUACCUGGAAGCUCUCUAAGGCAGGGAUAUAUUCAGAUCAUCUUUUCAUUUUUUUAUUUCCUUCCUCCUCCCAACUCUCCAUGUUCACCCCUCCCCAAAAAAACUAGUAAAGCUCAUUUGCAAUAUAUUUGUUGCUUUGAAUUUUUUUUUUUAUUUAUUAUUAUUAUUUUGAGACACAGUCUCACUCUGUCACCCAGGCUGGAGUGCAGUGGCACGAUCUCGGCUCACUGCAAGCUCCGCUCCCCCCUCCCCCACACCUCCCUCAAAGAGGUUUCAGUGUGACAAGGAAGAGGUCACACACACCCAGGGAGCUAGAAGUAACGCAGAAAAUACAGACUGCUUCAAGAAAAGUACGAAGGCUGGGCUAAACUGGUUUCACUUCCAAGUGAUUGGGUGAUGGCCCCUAUGGGUCAGCCUGGCCUGAAAAAGAAAUCUCCCCAUUGGGGCUCCAGCUUGUCCCAUUCAGCCCUUAACACAGCUCUGAGCUGAGGCAGGAGUCAGCAUCACCAGCACUUUUUGUUUUACAGGGUUUUUUCCCUUCAAUUCUCCAUUUGUCUUGGUCUGCAGGUGCUCUUCUCCCUGACCCUCCUUUCAUAUUCAUCCUAAAUGACAAGACCUUUCCUUAAAAACAAGCAUCUUCUCCUCCCAUGGCAAGACAAGGCUGCCCUUUGUGUGUUGUUUUCAUUAAUUUGUUGAUACUUGUUUUCAAGCUACAUUUUAUUGGACUUGUGCUUACUUUGCUGAAGCACAAAGGUUGUUUAAGCAGAAGGGCACAAGAAAGUGGAAAACUCCUGACCUCAAGUGAUCCACCCACCUCGGCCUCCCAAAGUGCUGAGAUUACAGGCGUGAGCCACCACACCCGAUCACGGGUCUUCCUGCUUCUGUGAUCACCUUCUCAUAACCUUGAGACCACUGCACAUUGAUGAAGUUCAGUUAAUCUACAAUGACUGUAGCCAUCUGAGUGACCCCAGGUGAGACCAAUAGAACUGUCGAACUAGCCAACGCACAGCAUUGUGAGAAACAAUAAAUCAUUGUUUUAAGCCAUUAUGUUUUGUGGUGGUUUGUUACAAACACAUAACUAAAACAACCUCAAAAUCUGGAUAAUAUGUUAGGGCCUGCCUGGAAAGCUGGCUGCCCCCCUGCUCUUCCUCGGCCCAUCGUGGGAACUCUUGGCUAUAAACAAAUCUUCCCGGAGUGGAUAAGUGGUCAGGAUUUAAGGUGGUAUUCUUCCCAGGUGCUCGUGCAACUUCAAAAAAAUAAAAUUCUAAGAAUGGGAUUUCAGGCCCUUAUCAAGGACAUAUUUAUGGCCAGGGACCCUCCUGCCUGCUCUUCAGAAACCACAUCUUGGCUUCUUCCUUCAAUAGCUUCCAGCCACCUGUUAAAGAUCUGCCUUUCCCAGAUGAGAAGGCAGGUCUAAUUCAGAGGAGAUUGAGCUGGUUGAUAAUGCAGAAGAAAUUUCAAGGCGACUCUGAAGCACAUCUAGGCUUCCUUGUAGCCAAACCAAACGAAAUAAUCUCAAACCCCAAAAUAUUAC